rnacentral:antisense_RNA from 1 species
CUUGAGGGCGCCCAGCAGCAGCGGCCGGUCGGCCGGCCGGUCCUGGCCGUAGGUGGCCAGCAGCGCCUGGGCCUC